UACGGAGGGGGCUAGCGUUGUUCGGAAUUACUGGGCGUAAAGCGCACGUAGGCGGCUUUGCAAGUUAGAGGUGAAAGCCCGGGGCUCAACUCCGGAAUUGCCUUUAAAACUGCAUCGCUAGAAUUGUGGAGAGGUAAGUGGAAUUCCGAGUGUAGAGGUGAAAUUCGUAGAUAUUCGGAAGAACACCAGUGGCGAAGGCGGCUCUCUGGACCGUAACUGACGCUGAGGCGCGAAAGCGUGGGGAGCAAACAGG
rnacentral:rRNA from 1 species